rnacentral:rRNA from 1 species
AGUGAACGCUGGCGGUAGGCCUAACACAUGCAAGUCGAACGGCAGCACAGUAAGAGCUUGCUCUUACGGGUGGCGAGUGGCGGACGGGUGAGGAAUACAUCGGAAUCUACUUAUUCGUGGGGGAUAACGUAGGGAAACUUACGCUAAUACCGCAUACGACCUACGGGUGAAAGCAGGGGAUCUUCGGACCUUGGGCGAUUGAAUGAGCCGAUGUCGGAUUAGCUAGUUGGCGGGGUAAAGGCCCACCAAGGCGACGAUCCGUAGCUGGUCUGAGAGGAUGAUCAGCCACACUGGAACUGAGACACGGUCCAGACUCCUACGGGAGGCAGCAGUGGGGAAUAUUGGACAAAGGGCGCAAGCCUGAUCCAGCCAUACCGCGUGGGUGAAGAAGGCCUUCGGGUUGUAAAGCCCUUUUGUUGGGAAGGAAAAGCAGCAGGUUAAUACCCCGCUGUUCUGACGGUACCCAAAGAAUAAGCACCGGCUAACUUCGUG